GCGGGUGUAGUUCAAUGGCAGAACGGCAGCUUCCCAAGCUGCACACGGGGGUUCGAUUCCCCUCACCCGCU
rnacentral:tRNA from 1 species